CCGCUUUUACCUCCCUCCUUUCGUCCUCUACGACAUAGAAACCCGACCCGAUUUCUGAAAAACCCGAACACCAUUUCAACAUCUCUUCCUUGCGAUUUGCAGAAAGGGUUUAAGAAAAGCAGAGAAAGCAGCAGCUGCUGCUGUUCGAUCGAGCAUCAUCCAACGCACGAUCUGUCCAUGGCAGCAGCAGAGGAAGAAUCGGAUUCUCCGGAAAAGAGAUUCCACACGAUCAUGGACAAGCUCUUCCACGCCCCAGGAGCAAAACGCCCGCCUUCCUCCUCCUCCCCCUCCACUUCUGCUGGAAUUCGAUCAUUGGGGGGUAAGAAGCGUUUGAGAUCGAAUCCAGUGUCGAUUCCGGAGCCGAAUUCGAGACGGGAUCUUGUCGAUGCUAACAGUAGCAGGCGUACCCUGGCUGUGCUUGGGCCGUCGCAGGUGGGCGUGCCGGUGUGCAGACCGUGGGAUCGUGGGGAUCUCCUGAGGCGAUUGGCGACGUUCAAGUCGAUGACGUGGUUUGGAAAACCCAAGGUAGUCAGUCCGGUAAACUGUGCAAAGAGGGGUUGGGUAAAUGUAGAGAUGGAUAUUAUAGCUUGUGAAGCAUGUGGAUCACGUCUCCUCUUUUCUACCCCUUCAUCCUGGACACAGCUGCAAGUUGAAAAGGCAGCAGCGGUAUUCAGUUUAAAGCUAGAUAGUGGACAUAAGGUACUUUGCCCAUGGAUUGAUAAUGCCUGUGACGAAGGGCUGGCGUUGUUUCCACCAACACCUGCUCCAGCUUUAAUCCAGGGUUACAGAGAUCGGUCUUCUGCACUUCUGCAACUUUCAGCUCUUCCUGUAAUUUCAUCUUCAGCCGUUGAUUACAUGAAGAGCCCACAGCUCGAAAGCUUUCUUGCACAACCUCCUCAUCCAGUAUGCAGCUUAGAUGAUGGAAUUCAGCCUAGUGGGUCUUCCAGAAGCGAGGCUCUAAAUGAAUCUGAAGCUCUUUCUGCCAAAUUAUACCAUCAGGCACAUAAGCUCAUAAGUCUAUGUGGAUGGGAACCCCGUUUUCUUCCUUAUGUUGUUGACUGCGAGGAUCGAUCAAUUAAGUCGGUAAAAGAUUCCGAUUCUUCUCCACGUGUUAUCGGCAGACAGAAUCCUAGUAUCUUUGUCUACCCAUCAUCUGGUUCUGAUGAGGCUGCAAGGGUAAAGGAAAACAGCCCAACUCUUGGUGAACACCAACCUGAUCCUGCAUCUGUUGUUCUAGACUGUAGGUUUUGUGGGGCCUGUGUUGGUCUAUGGGCUUUCUCGACUGUUCCCCGGCCUUUAGAACUGUUCAGAUUGAUCAAAUCUGUAGAGAUCAAUCAUCAGAAAGAUUCUUCUAAUGGUGGUGAUAAUAAUUUCAGCCACAUGAUUGAGGCACCGAAUACUGUCUGCAACAGUUCUGCAGUUUCAAAGGAUAGAGCCCUGAGCUUAAAUCUUACAAUUGCAGGUGGUCCACGGCCAACAAAACAGAACUUCAAGGCAACAGUUACUUUGCCCAUCAUCAGCCGACACUUGAGGGCUGGGUUGUGUUCUAAUUCUGUUGCCAGAAACCGUGAACCAUCUGAUGUUUUAUCCAUUGAUCUAGAAGAUCAUAUAGACAGAACUCAUACUGGACAAGUUGUUUUGUCGGAAGAGGCGGGGACAUUGAAGCGCAAGAGAAAUGAAGAUGAACUUUGCAUUGCUAGAGACAGCAGUUCCGAUGCUCAAUGCCAUCUUAAUGGGAAAUCUGACAGAGUGGAGAGAAGUCUUAUAAAUGAGGAGAUGAACGCCGAUAUUUCUAGUGAAGAACGACACUCCAAUGAACAAGGACUUCCUACCAUGCAUGCAGAGAAUGUGCAAAAUGUGCCGCAAGAUUCAGGCAGAAAUGAUGCAUUGGUUGAAGAUGCUGAAAUUGCUGGAGCAGUCACUGCAGAAAGGGGGGCCACUGUUUCCCAAGUUGGAGAAUGCUUCCCUACAACUCCGAUUGCUAAUGGCGCUGGUGGGUAUGACGGAAUCAGUGAGGAAAACUUAGCUGCACUGGCAGCUUAUGAUAGCAACCAAAAGGAUAUUGAUUUUUGUGUUGCUGAUAUACUACAAUGGAUACAAGAUCCUCAAGAUGGCCUUAAUGACUCUUCACAUAUAGGAAGUCAUUCGGAAGCAAAGGCAACUGCAGAUGGUACCCAUGACAUGGACUUCAGGAAAGGCGAUGAAGAUUCUGAUUUCCAGUCAUCUGCAGAUGGACAGCCAAACAAUCAAAUGGUCGUGGGAGUGACGGAAAUGGUGCAGUCUUCUGUCAGCAAUGAAAUUCUUGCAGCCCAUGGACCAGGAAAUGACCUAAAGCUAGUUCAAUGGGAUAAAAAGAUGGAGUUUGAUCCAAUACGGCAGCACCGGCAUUUUUGCCCCUGGGUUGCUUCUACAGAUGGUACGAGCAUGCCCGGAUGGAAACAAACACUUUCUGCCUUAGAUCAUUUGAAAGAGUCUCCUCUUGCUUUACGUGAGGACUCUCCAUCAGCAUUGUCCAUAUGUGAGGUGGAUGACCCUAUUGCUUCAGUCCGGAAGCUUUUCAUGUCUCCGUCUGAAAAAAGAACGAAGAUGGCCCAUCAAUCAAGCUAAAGAUCAAAGCCAUCUUAUUGAUAUGGCCCUCCGAAUGCGCCAGUGACCAGGAUCUCAUGUGCAAAGCCACCAUGUUGCACACUGCAACGUAAAGCUCCCCUGGUAUUUUGGGCAUUGCCAUCUGAAAACUAGAUAUGUUGUUCCGCUUUUACUGUUAUUGGGUCGGGCAAAAGCGGCCACAUCAGCAUCAAACGGAUGUUUCAGAAUGAAAGAUUGGAGAUCCAAAUGUUGAGGAUCCUCUCUCAUAUUCAGUAGCUGAGGAUUGAUCCCCUACAACCAGCUGCACGACUGAAGGCAUAAAGAAAAAGUGCUAUAGCAUACAACAAUAACCAUUUGUAUGUAGUCUUCUUCCCUAGCCUGACUAUAGCCAGGUCCGUGGCAAGGGAUGUCAAUGGCCUGGACCAGGGUCCAAUCAGGUCUGGCCCAUGCAAGAAACGGUGAGGUCCAAGCUAUUGGGCCAACCUAGACCUGAAAUGGACCAAUGUUUAUAAGGUGUGAGCCCAAUCUAUUUUCCAAUUUCUACAUGUAUUUUAGUGGAAAGUAUUACAGAUUUAUAACUAAAAUACAUUGGCGUAAUCAGGGCCUUUGGCCUGGCACAA